rnacentral:lncRNA from 1 species
AGGCAGAUGUCUUGUUAGACUGAAUGCUUAUUCUUUCCCUUUGCCUUCAUUUCUAUGAACCCAAGAAAGUCAGGCCUCUAGACAGCAGGAAGUCAACUAUAUUGAUGUUCAAUCCAUAUUGAAGGUCAAACCAUACUGACCUUCCAUAAAAGCUGUUGGAAGCAGCCAGGCAUGGGCAUCUGACCUUGGUCAUGGGGCUGGUACCAGAAAAACCCGUCUGGCAUGGGUUGUGGGCACCUUCAGCUCACCUUCUGAGGCCUGGCCAUCCACAACAGUGAACGGGGGAGUUCUCCGUUCUGAACUCCUUGGCAGAAGAGCUGAGCAUUAACUUCAAGAAAGAAGGAGCAUCCAGUUUUGAGAGCUCUUAGGAUUUGGAAUCAGAAAGAUAGGAAUUCAAAUUCUAGCCUUCCCUCUUUGUAGCUGUAUGACUUUAGAGCAAUGCCUGUGACCCAGAUUACUGCCACCCAUUUUAUGGAUGAAGAAACUAUGGUUGAGUGGAUGCCCAAGGCCAUGCUGCUACAGUGUAUUUGAGCUGGGAUCCAACCUCCUGGUUAUACUCUUCUAACCACCAAUCCAUACAACUCAUCUGUUCUAUUUCUUCUGGCUGGAACAACUUUCUCUCCUCUAGCUGCCUGGAAAACUCCUACCUGACCUUCAAAAUUCAGGUCCAAUGCCUCCUCCUCUGUGAAGCCUUCUCUGAUCCCACUCCAGACAGUUUCAUCUGCUUGGUACCCAGAGCAUCAUGCAUAUGUCUUUACUACAUUGCUCAUCAAUCUAUUCUGAAAUGAUAUGAACAAUGCUCAUUUUCCCCCUCAAACUCUAAAUUCUAUUAUCACAGAGCUAAGUUUUCUUACUCCCUUACAUCAUUGACUGACACUGGAAAAUGCUGCCAAUGAAGCGGCCCAUUCCAUAUUUGCUUGGAUUUCACUGUUAGAAAGUUCUUUGUUAGGGUGAACCACACAGCUGGCCUCACUAACAUCCACCUCCUGGGAGGAGGAAGCAGUUGGUUCUACCAUCUUCCUCUCAUAGAAGCUCUUCAGAUGCUGAGGACACCUGUCACCUGUCCCAAGGGGCGUCCCUGAUCAUGUCCUGUGUUGUCCCCAGCCAUUUCCUAUAGAACUUCCUACUCUCUUCCCUCUAAACACAAAGAGCUUUUCCCUUUAACUCCUUAUUUGUCAUUGG